UUCCUUUUCUUUUUCUCAUUUUCUCUUUUUCCUUCUCCUUCUUCUUCUUUCAUUUUUGUUCUUCUUGGUAGAUGGUUGCCAGAUCUUGUUUUCCUUCUCUUUUCUUAUUUUUCCUCGCGUUUUUUUUUCUUUCUCUUUUGUUGUUUGAUCUAACUUUUAUUAUGUGAAAUUUGCAGCAAUUGGAGCACCCUUUUCUCUGCCGUUUGUGUCGCCGCCGCCACCAGAGUCAACGCCGUCGCCGUCUCUGUCGCGAGUUUACAGAUCUGAAAAUUGAUCUCUUACCUAACUUUGUCUUUGCUUUUGUCAAAGAGUUUGAUCCAAGUAGCUGAGUUUUGGAGGUGGGUUUUUUAUGUGAAGUGAGGAAAUGAUGAAGAGGGUCGGAGAUGAGAUGAAAAAUGAAGUCUUGCAGCUGGUGGAGAGACCGGGGAGGAAUAAAGAUUGUGAGAAUCAGACUGUUGAAACGGAGUUGGAGACUGAGACCCAACAUCCAUACGCCUUUCAUGUUUCUCUCCGGGGCUUAAUUAUGGAUAGGAGCAACAUGAUGGAAUUGAGAUUGCAACACAACCUAAUAAAAUAACAUGAGGAAACGAACUCAAUCAUUGUCAACUCAAGCAUUUAGGGAUUCCUAGAAGAGCAACAUCCCAACCACUAAAUCCAAAAUAUUUUAUCCAUCAAUCCCUGCAACAAGUGGAAUCUGUACAAGAGCAGCAUCAAGGAGGGCAGGUCAAAUACACAAAUUCCAACACCAUUUCUGAAUGUCACAAACACUCCUUCACCAUCACCACCUAAUUCCUUACAUCUGGGCUAGGAAGAGUGAACAUUCAAAAAUCAGUGUCAUUUGCUCGAGGUUAUCCACCAAUAGCAAAAUCAAUUAUGACUCGGGAAAGAGCAAAAAUCACAGCUGAACAUAAUUUUCCUGUUUUGAAAAAGGAUGGGAAGAAAUUUGUUACGUUGUCUAACCUCGCUGCAAUUAUUAAGGCAACAACUUCAAAAGUCAAAGGAAAAGAGAAGGCUUGACAUGCAAUGAUAUGUACUUUUUUUAUUUUUUGUCCUCAAAACAUCAUGACCAAAAUGAAUGUACACAUUUUACUAUGUGGAGAUGUGACUUUAUUUUAAAAAUCAAUGUGGAGUUUUUCUAGUA